UGGUCAGAUUGAACGCUGGCGGCAGGCUAACACAUGCAAGUCGAGCGGCAGCGGGAAAGUAGCUUGCUACUUUUGCCGGCGAGCGGCGGACGGGUGAGUAAUGCCUGGGGAUCUGCCCAGUCGAGGGGGAUAACAGUUGGAAACGGUUGCUAAUACCGCAUACGCCCUACGGGGGAAAGGAGGGGACCUUCGGGCCUUUCGCGAUUGGAUGAACCCAGGUGGGAUUAGCUAGUUGGUGGGGUAAUGGCUCACCAAGGCGACGAUCCCUAGCUGGUCUGAGAGGAUGAUCAGCCACACUGGAACUGAGACACGGUCCAGACUCCUACGGGAGGCAGCAGUGGGGAAUAUUGCACAAUGGGGGAAACCCUGAUGCAGCCAUGCCGCGUGUGUGAAGAAGGCCUUCGGGUUGUAAAGCACUUUCAGCGAGGAGGAAAGGUUGUUGGCUAAUAUCCAGCAACUGUACGUACU
rnacentral:rRNA from 1 species